GUUACAGCAGCCGCGGUAAGACAGAGGGUGCAAACGUUGUUCGGAUUUACUGGGCGUAAAGCGCGUGUAGGCGGCUUGGCAAGUCGGAUGUGAAAGCCCACGGCUCAACCGUGGAAGCGCAUCCGAAACUGCUUCGCUUGAGUCUCGGAGAGGAAGGUGGAAUGCUUGGUGUAGAGGUGAAAUUCGUAGAUAUCAAGCAGAACACCUGCGGCGAAGGCGGCCUUCUGGACGAUGACUGACGCUGAGACGCGAAAGCGUGGGGAGCAAACAGGAUUAGAAACCCGCGUAGUCC
rnacentral:rRNA from 1 species